GACGAACGCUGGCGGCGUGCCUAAUACAUGCAAGUCGAGCGGACUUUCAAGAAGCUUGCUUUUUGAAAGUUAGCGGCGGACGGGUGAGUAACACGUGGGCAACCUGCCUGCAAGACGGGGAUAACUCCGGGAAACCGGGGCUAAUACCGGAUAAUAUCUUCCUUCGCAUGAAGGAAGGUUGAAAGGCGGCGCAAGCUGCCGCUUGCAGAUGGGCCCGCGGCGCAUUAGCUAGUUGGUGAGGUAACGGCUCACCAAGGCGACGAUGCGUAGCCGACCUGGGAGGGUGAUCGGCCACACUGGGACUGAGACACGGCCCAGACUCCUACGGGAGGCAGCAGUAGGGAAUCUUCCGCAAUGGACGAAAGUCUGACGGAGCAACGCCGCGUGAGCGAAGAAGGUCUUCGGAUCGUAAAGCUCUGUUGUCAGGGAAGAACAAGUACCGUUCGAACAGGGCGGUACCUUGACGGUACCUGACCAGAAAGCCACGGCUAACUACGU
rnacentral:rRNA from 1 species